UAUUUUUUAUUUUUUUGUGGAUAAGAGUAGGAGGAAUGCUGCAAGGUUAUACGAAUAUGGAUUAGAAUUUGCUUGCUUGCAGAUGUGUCAAAUUGCAGGACUUUCAAAAACCCAAAUCAAAGUUGUAUGACUUUUGGCAACAAGGAAACAGGUUCAAGUCAAAGUGUUGAAUCUUGAAAUUGUCAACUAGCAAGAUGAUUGGAGAGAGUUCAAAAAAAGCUGAGAAAAUAAUUAGAAAGGAGCGUGAAGCUAUAAUUGCUGCGAUAAUGGAUGAAAGAAGAAAUACAUCAUUCAGAAUUUUAGAUGAGUGUUCUACUUCUCCACAUGUUGAAUCACAUGAUAUGGAAGGAGUUGUAGACUCCACUCAAGUACCAAAGAAGAAAACUAGGG